UCGUGAGACAGUUCGGUCCCUAUCUGCCGUGGGAGCUGGAGAAUUGAGGGGAGCUGCUGCUAGUACGAGAGGACCGGAGUGGACGCAUCACUGGUGUGCGGGGUGUCAUGCAAAUGGCACUGCCCGGUAGCUAAAUGCGGAAGAGAUAAGUGCUUACAGCAUCUAAGCACGAAACUUGCCAUGAGAUGAGUUCUCCCUGACGCUUUAAGGGUCCUGAAGGAACGUUGAAGACGACG
rnacentral:rRNA from 1 species